GGUAACUUGGCCGAGCGGUCUAAGGCGCCAGACUCAAGCGUAAGCUUCAUCCUUCUCAAAGGAUGAGUAUUCUGGUCUCGCAAGAGGCGUGAGUUCGAAUCUCACAGUUAUCA
rfam:Colletotrichum tofieldiae strain 0861 Ct_v4_contig158, whole genome shotgun sequence.